GAUGAACGCUGGCGGCGUGCUUAACACAUGCAAGUCGAACGAAGCACUUUAUUUGAUUUCCUUCGGGACUGAUUAUUUUGUGACUGAGUGGCGGACGGGUGAGUAACGCGUGGGUAACCUGCCUUGUACAGGGGGAUAACAGUUGGAAACGGCUGCUAAUACCGCAUAAGCGCACAGCAUCGCAUGAUGCAGUGUGAAAAACUCCGGUGGUAUAAGAUGGACCCGCGUUGGAUUAGCUAGUUGGUGAGGUAACGGCCCACCAAGGCAACGAUCCAUAGCCGACCUGAGAGGGUGACCGGCCACAUUGGGACUGAGACACGGCCCAAACUCCUACGGGAGGCAGCAGUGGGGAAUAUUGCACAAUGGGCGAAAGCCUGAUGCAGCGACGCCGCGUGAGCGAAGAAGUAUUUCGGUAUGUAAAGCUCUAUCAGCAGGGAAGAUAAUGACGGUA
rnacentral:rRNA from 1 species